UGGAGUUAAGAGUCAGAAAUUGAGCUUAUGUGUACAGAGAGAUUCACUUUAAUAUGGACCGUGGGGUAAUCAGAAUUGGAAAAGAGCGUUAUUUCUAAGAAGACUGCGCACAGCAUUUCUCACUGAAUAGUUCUAGGAUGCUAACGGGACACAGAAAAUUCCUGGGUCAGAGACAAAGGACUUACUUGUUCACCACACGGAAUAAAGCAACAGCAUCAAUGUAUUUGCAGUGGCUCUCCUUGCUGUGACCCUUGGGAUGAUGCAGUGGGCCCAGAUGUUCCUUUGGGUAUUUGAACCUGGAUCCUCAGAUGCGAUAGAAUGUGCAUUCUACCAGCAUAACUUCAGUUUUUAUGAUGAUGUUACUCUAUUUUCAAAUGAACUUGAAUGUGGCAAAGAAAAGAAGUAGGAAGAUCAAGCCUGCACAUGAUGAUUGGUGGGACACAGUGCCUGCACAACUUGGUGAAGCUUAUCCCCAUCUGUGGAGUAAAGGGGCUUGGACACGGGACCUCAUGCGUGAGACCGUGUACA